rnacentral:lncRNA from 1 species
UGGUUUUUACCUUCCUUUUCGGUAUAUUAAACCAUUUGGUAUCCGAAUACCAUAUUGGACCCGACUAAUCUAAAUUCGAGCCAGGUAGGACCCCUAAGGCGGCAAAGCUCUCUCAAUAAGUAUUUAACGCAGCUGCAUUCCCAAGUCUCAAAUCGAGAACUUUAGUUAAGAUAGAACAACACCAUACCAGCUAAUCUACGCGCUUGUUGGUAGUUUUUACCUUCCUUUAAUAACAUGCAAACUCUAAAUUCUUUCUUCGGAUUCCAGUUAUUCCAUCACUCUAUAUAACUUGUAUUAGUAUUACAUAGUUAAUUCUCUUUUUGAGGCUGUGAUUUUGGGCAUUUCCAUGUGGAAUUUUAGUGGCAGAAAUUGCCGUAAUUAUAGGAGCUGUAGACGGUGCCAUAAAUUAACUUGGGUGAAAACACAUAAAAAAUUAACGGAACAUAUCAUCAAUCCUUCUUAGAUCCUUUAUUUCUUAUGACUGAAAUACGUGCACAUUUAAAUUAAAAUGUACCUCAUCAUAGUGGGGCAAGAUGUGAAAGAAAAUCUAUGCAUAUGCAAGUUGGGUACAGAUUGAAGCUUUGUUUAAAGUGGAUUAUCAUUACUGCUGGGUCUCCGGAUGCCUAGUGGUAACUCACGCCCUCAAAAUGUUUGAGCGCAUAAGUUGAAGCCUCACAGGGGCAAGAGUCCCAUUUUAAUCCCAUAUCCAAAAAAUAUAGAUAUUAGGGGCAGAUUUCUCCCUAGUUAUUUGUAAUAGAUUUUAAAUUGUAAUAUAUCCCUAGAAUUACAACAAGUUGAAACGUGGGUUACCAUUCGAUAUAUCAAAAAUAAUUGGGAAAAUCAGAAGCCUCUCUGCUUAUGUGCUGUAUACAUGAAUGUGGGGACAAAGGCUUCAAUUGAUUGUUCUUUUUUUUCCCCCGUCAUGUAGAAUGUUGCUUUUUCACUUUCGUAAAUAGUGCUAGGCACGGAUUUUCCUCUUGAAUUUCCGCUUAGAUUAUUCUCCUAGAAAAUAAAAGAAACCAAUCCAGUUGUUGUGUCUCAAUGAGAAUAUAACUUUUAUUUGUCAAUAGAGGCUGUGUAAUUAUAGACAAUUAUGAUCUUGCUGUAUAAUUAGACACCAUUAUUUGACAUAAUAACUUACGGCGAAAUUCCGUGGAAUCCAAAUGGGUGCGCAUGUUUAUCUUUUCAUUAUUUUGAUAACUCUAACAGCUAUUCAACUGUUUUAAUUAAUCUCAUUCAAACUCUCUGUAAUUUCAUGAUUUCAUAAGAAGUUGAGCUUUACCGGCUCCAAAAGCUUCCACAAUCAGCCUCAAUCUAGCUGUAAUUAGUAAGUAAUAAAAGAAGAAUUAGAUAGCCUUCAAUAUAUUAUCAUGAAGGUAGCCUUGAAUAUAUUAUCAUGAAGGUCGCAUUUCUGUAUCAAUUGAUGUUAGCAUCAUUAAUUUUUCUAGUGCAUGCACACGUCCAUACAUUGUAAAAUCUUAAAUUUGACUCUAUGCAACUUUAUUUAAUAGUUAUAGAUUAUUCUUUAGUAUUUAUACACUAUUUUCAUGGGGUCACGAAUUCUUAUAUAGUAAGACAUAUAAUGAAUAUGAUAAAAAUUUGUUAAGCGUAACGAAAGACUUUUGGUGAUGUAAGAUCGAGUCAUAAGAACUAAGAAUAAUAAUAAGAAAAAUUCUUUAAAAGACAAUUGUUGAAUUUAUGAAAACCCAUAUAUCAUCAAACAGACGCAUCCACUAGCAACAAAUGAUUAAUUUAAUCAUGCAUGCUGUUUAACACUGCAAUGGUACUGUAAUUAAAUUAAUCACAUAAUCUACUCCCAGAUAUGAUAUUUAUUCUACUAAUUAAUGUGGGGUUAUUAUGAUCUCUAGCAAGGGUCAAUAUCUAACCAUAGGCUACUACAUAAAAGUAAAUAUAAUAAAAUGAUUGAUUGGAGUGAGACAUAUGGGUUAUUUGCAACUAUAGCUAGUAUAAUAUUGUGCAAAUAUUAAGAUGUGUGGGGACUAAUUGGAUUAUCACGCUAUCAGAAAAAAAUGAUGCAAAACGAGAAAACAUGUGUAAUUUUUUUUAUGAAAAGUUAUUUGAAAACAAUAGCUCCAUGUUUCUUUCUUUCUCAAAUAAAGUGGGAACAAAGAUAUGAGAUCGUAUGGGAAGAGGGGCCACAGCUGACAGACGGAGAAUUUUUGUCCCCAUUCUUCUUUUAUUAUUUUUUUUUCUUUUCUCUCUCCCACUAAACCCUCAAAAUGUACAUACAUGUAACAUAUCCACUUUGGAUAUAAGAAUUAUGUGAUCAACCAACCACAACAUGAAACGAAACCCCAAAAAGACAAACCCUAGAUCUAACAAUUGCUAGAGAGAGAAUAAUCAACAGUCACAAAUUAACAAUAAUUUAAGAAGAGAAUGAAAGAAAGACAAACACAAACUCUUUGAUCCUUUUUAGUUUUGAAAUUAUUAAAUGUGUUUUUGGUAUAAAGAAACGUAAAACAUAAAGGUGGCGAGGGUAUAGAGAAGACAUAAGAUCAUUUUCACGAUUCAUUUUCUUGCACAUUAUACACUCUCCUAUGCAUUUGGCUUCAAUCCCCACCAACAACACUCCCAAAUUUAUUUUUCUUUUUUGGGGAAAAUGAUAAAUAUAAUAAUAAAGAAAAAGCGUUUGUUUUCAAUUAAUUAUCUUCAGUGAUAUUGAUAUUGGUAAUGGUAAAUGAUAGCCCAUGUGAUUAUGGGGACCCCGUGAAUCGCAACCGAAAGCAGGUGGUAGUGGUGGCGGCGGUGGCGGUGGACCCGGCAAUGACAGAUGCCACUGAGCUAUAAGCUUUACUCCCCUCAUCUUCUAAGCCUCCGGGUCUAUGUAUCUCGUGACCUUAGCGGCAGCCCGCAGGGUCUCAUUAUUACUUUCCAUAAAUUUACUUCCACUCCUUUAUUUCAGUAAUAAUUUAGCCGCUGAGUAGUUUGCUUGUAGAUUAUGGGUGCGUUUGGGAUUGAGGUUGGGCAGCUGUAGUUUAAAAGUUACAAUAUUAAAGUAUUUAGUAAACACUAGCUGCUGUAGCUUUUAAGCUAUGUUGAUAUGAUUUUUCACUUGUAUAAUAUAAAAUUUAUUAUAUCUUUAAUAAUUGUAUCAAAAUUAUUAUUUAAAAUUUAUAUUUACUAUAUAUUAUUAAUUUUUAUUUCAUAAUUAUAGUUUUUUUUUCACAACAACUGUAGCUUAAAAGGUACAGCACCUCAAUCCCAAACGCACCCUAUAAUUUCUAACACUAUAGUGUUGCACUAGUUGUAUGCUCGGCUCAUCCGGCCGGUCACUCGUGAGUGUGUUUUGUGUUCAUUGAUAUAACAUUAUUCGACUAAUUCACCCUCGUCAAAUAUAAGUUAUACUUGAUUAUAACUUCUCUUUUCUCUACAAAGGAGUAAGAUAGAUUUGUAAUAUUUGGGAAUUAAUUAAUAGUCAAAUGAUAAAUUACUAUUCUUUCGACAUUUGUAAGGGAUUUAAAUACGACAUGUACAGCGUAUGGAAAUAUUUUUUCAAAUUUUUUUUUUUAAAAUAAGAUUGACCCAUACUUACCCAAAUAUUAUUAUUCGAUAUUAAGAUUAUUUGUGCGUAUUACGCAUAUAAAUGAUUUAUUGAAGACUCUUGUAAAAAAUUAUACAAAAGAAGUGCGGCUAGACGAUAAUACUAACAUGACUGAAAUAAAAUGCCAAACUAAUUAAACUAAAUUACCCCUUUAACAAUAUUGAAAAGGGCAAAAGGAUGAAAAGAAAGAUCUUUAACACAGAGACGUGUUUAUUGGUUAUUACUUAUUACUCCUCACGCAUGCAUGUGAAUCUUAUAAAUAUGACAUUUAUGGCAUAUACCAAGCAAUUCUUUCAUGAGUUAAUAAAUAAUCUAUAAUAUCUCAGUUUAAAUUAUUAAAUGGAAUCUGAGAAUAGUAAUUAUUUGGAGAGAAUUAACUUAUACGGAUACCCACUUGCUCUUUCCAAAACCCAAUUCAUUUAAUUCGAAAUACGUGUUGAUUCUGACACAAAAGAAAAAAAAAAGAAAUAAGACACGUGUGAACAAACAAUUGCUUCUCAUGCUGGCAUCACCCACACGUGUAGAGAAACAGGCGCUGCUUUCCAAAUCAAUCAAAUGCCCAGCAUAUUACUAGACUAGAUAGUAGGCCGAUCAAGUUCGUGGGGCCCAAAUCAGCCAGCGUGCCUAGUUUUUUGAGAUGGAAUACUGAAACCCACGCGCUUUGUUAUAGCGUGCAUUAUUUUAUCAUUGGUCUAAUCAGGGGUAGACAAGAUGACGUGCCGUGCGCAUGACAUACGGAUACGACGCCAUACAUGCAUGGAUGUAAACGUAUCAUGGCCAUGCAAUGGUAUGUGUUCCAAAUACAAUCCGUACAUAGAACGCGUGGAGCACUCAUGUUGCCAAUUAUUUUUUCUACGAAUUUAUUUUUAUUUUAUUUUUAAAGCUGGCAAGAAAGAAGCAAAACUCCAUAAAAGCAAUCUCCAGGUCAGAUUCUGCUUGGAAAAUUCUAGGAACACAACACCACCAACACCAACACCAACACCAACACCAACACCAGCUACAACAACAAUAAUAAUAAGAAGAAUAGUGCUGCACAUUUUAAUUUUUUAUCUUAAAAAUUUAUCU